CUGGCGUACGACUGAGUGGCGUUGCCGUUACCAGUCCGGCCCGUAUAAGUAGGAGCGACAGCGAGCCGGAGGUCACACAGCCGAGCACCAAGAUCUCUCUUCCUUCCUCCUCCUCCUCCUCCUCCAAUCCCCCUCUCCGGCCAGCGCGAGCGAGCGAGCUUGAGAGAGGUUGGUACCUGCAGGUAGCCAUGGACGGCCACCGCCACGGGCCGCGCAAGAUUCUGGCGCUUGAGGCGGCGUUCAAGAAAUGUGCCCACCCCGACCAGACCCAGGUCGCUAAUCUCAGCCGCGAAACCGGCAUGGAGCCCCAGCAGAUCGUAUACUGGUUCCAGACCCGGCGGGCGCAUAUCAAGGGAUCUUAAUCGAACACGAGGCCUCCGACCCAGGGAUCUUCAUUGUCAGAUCCUUGAUGCUUUCAUUCCACAACUUCGCCUUCAUGCUGUGACACAGGGAGGCUGAUGGUGGCUGAUGUCCGUCACUAUCGUGGUCUUCCUCAGCUUAGUGUUUAUGUGUGUGUUUCGGCUUGUUAGCCAAGGACCCCCUUCGGGUUUGUAUCGCGCGUGUGUGUGUCGGCUCUUGAGCCCACCUGGACCCUAAUGGGUUUGUAUCGUGUUUGUGUUUGUGCGUGCGCACGUGCGUCGGCUCUUGAGCCUUGGACCCUAGAUGGGUUUGUAUCAUGUUUGUGUUGUAUUUCUGUUGCAUUUGAAUUUUAAACUCUGCCACAUUACCCUGAA